CACAGCAGUAUAUAUACAGUGAUGCGCUGCUCUGGGUCACAUCUGUCUGCCAGGAGAUCCUGCUGUCUACCUAGCACGGGACAAGCCAACAUAAGAGAGACCCACAUCCCUCCUAGCAAUAAGGACACAGAGAAGAUGCCAUAUCUGAAACUGGGAGACAUAGAGCUGCCUCUGAAGCUGCAAGUGACCGUCUACUGACUGCAAGUUGCCCAGUCUGGGUUUGAUGCAGUGGCCAUCACAGACACAGACAGCGUUAAUGGGUGGAUCCUUCUUUGCUUCAUCUCCUCUACCUUCCCUCCUCUCUGCACAUGCAAAAAAUGAGGGUUGAUGUUUUUAUUCAUGCUAUAGAAAAA
rnacentral:lncRNA from 1 species